rnacentral:rRNA from 1 species
AACGAACGCUGGCGGCAUGCCUAACACAUGCAAGUCGAACGAGACCUUCGGGUCUAGUGGCGCACGGGUGCGUAACGCGUGGGAACCUGCCCUUAGGUUCGGAAUAACUCCCCGAAAGGGGUGCUAAUACCGGAUAAUGUCUUCGGACCAAAGAUUUAUCGCCUUUGGAUGGGCCCGCGUUGGAUUAGCUAGUUGGUAGGGUAAAAGCCUACCAAGGCGACGAUCCAUAGCUGGUCUGAGAGGAUGAUCAGCCACACUGGGACUGAGACACGGCCCAGACUCGUGCGGGAGGGAGCAGUGGGGAAUAUUGGACAGUGGGCGAGAGCCUGAUGGAGCAAUGCCGCGUGAGGGAUGAAGGCCUGAGGGUUGUAAAGCUCUUUUACCCGGGAUGAUAAUGACAGUGCCGGGAGAAUAAGCGCCGGCUAACUCCGUG